rnacentral:miRNA from 12 species
UGUCUGCAUACCCAAGCAUUUAUACAUAUAUAUAUAUACGUAUAUAUACACACACACACACAUAUGUAUAUAUAUAUACACACACACAUAUAUAUACGUGUGUAUAUAUA